AUUGAACGCUGGCGGCAGGCCAAACACAUGCAAGUCGAACGGUAGCACAGAGAGCUUGCUCUCGGGUGACGAGUGGCGGACGGGUGAGUAAUGUCUGGGAAACUGCCCGAUGGAGGGGGAUAACUACUGGAAACGGUAGCUAAUACCGCAUAACGUCGCAAGACCAAAGUGGGGGACCUUCGGGCCUCACACCAUCGGAUGUGCCCAGAUGGGAUUAGCUAGUAGGUGGGGUAAUGGCUCACCUAGGCGACGAUCCCUAGCUGGUCUGAGAGGAUGACCAGCCACACUGGAACUGAGACACGGUCCAGACUCCUACGGGAGGCAGCAGUGGGGAAUAUUGCACAAUGGGCGCAAGCCUGAUGCAGCCAUGCCGCGUGUAUGAAGAAGGCCUUCGGGUUGUAAAGUACUUUCAGCGGGGAGGAAGGCGGUGGAGUUAAUAACUUCACCGAUUGACGUUACCCGCAGAAGAAGCACCGGCUAACUCCGUGCCAGCCGCCGCUGUAA
rnacentral:rRNA from 1 species